GAUGAACGCUGGCGGCGUGCCUAAUACAUGCAAGUCGAGCGAACGGACGAGAAGCUUGCUUCUCUGAUGUUAGCGGCGGACGGGUGAGUAACACGUGGAUAACCUACCUAUAAGACUGGGAUAACUUCGGGAAACCGGAGCUAAUACCGGAUAAUAUUUUGAACCGCAUGGUUCAAAAGUGAAAGACGGUCUUGCUGUCACUUAUAGAUGGAUCCGCGCUGCAUUAGCUAGUUGGGAAGGUAACGGCUUACCAAGGCAACGAUGCAUAGCCGACCUGAGAGGGUGAUCGGCCACACGGGAGCUGAGACACGGUCCAGACUCCUACGGGAGGCAGCAGUAGGGAAUCUUCCGCAAUGGGCGAAAGCCUGACGGAGCAACGCCGCGUGAGUGAUGAAGGUCUUCGGAGCGGAAAACUCUGUUAUUAGGGAAGAACAUAUGUGUAAGUAACUGUGCACAGCGUGACGGUACCUAAUCAGAAAGCCACGGCUAACUACGUG
rnacentral:rRNA from 1 species